AAAGAAUUAGUUAAAAAAUAACAUAAAUAUGUCAAAUUUAAAUUAUUAUCUAUAAUAAUAUUCUUUU
rnacentral:tRNA from 1 species